rnacentral:ncRNA from 1 species
CGAGUCGGCACCUCGUAUGGGGUCCGUCCGCGCCGCCCCGGCGGCCGGAUGCAUGGACCCGCGAUGACCCGGUGGGGUGAGAGGAGUUCGCACAUG